rnacentral:rRNA from 1 species
GACGAACGCUGGCGGCGUGCUUAACACAUGCAAGUCGAACGGGAUCCACUGGGCUUUUGUUUGGUGGUGAGAGUGGCGAACGGGUGAGUAAUGCGUGACUAACCUGCCGUAUGGUUGGGGAUAGCUCCUGGAAACGGGUGGUAAUACCCAAUGCUCCAGCUGGAUGCAUGUCUGGUUGGGAAAGCUUUUGUGCCAUAUGAUGGGGUCGCGUCCUAUCAGCUUGUUGGUGGGGUGAUGGCCUACCAAGGCGUCGACGGGUAGCCGGCCUAAGAGGGCGACCGGCCACAUUGGGACUGAGAUACGGCCCAGACUCCUACGGGAGGCAGCAGUGGGGAAUAUUGCACAAUGGGCGCAAGCCUGAUGCAGCGACGCCGCGUGCGGGAUGGAGGCCUUCGGGUUGUAAACCGCUUUUAUAGGGGGGCAAGCUAUGCCUGUGUGGUGUGGUGAGUGGACUUUAUGAAUAAGCAC